GAUGAACGCUGGCGGCGUGCCUCAAACAUGCAAGUCGAGCGGGGCUAUGUAAUAUCGCAAGGUAGAACAUAGCCUAGCGGCGAACGGGUGAGUAACACGUGGGUAACCUGCCUGGAAGACAGGGAUAACGAUUCGAAAGGGUCGCUAAUACCUGAUAAUAUCCUUUCAUCGCAUGGUGAUAGGAAGAAAGGGGAAACCCGCUUUCAGAUGGGCCCGCGUCCCAUCAGCUAGUUGGUAAGGUAAAGGCUUACCAAGGCGACGACGGGUAGCCGGUCUGAGAGGAUGUACGGCCACACUGGGACUGAGAUACGGCCCAGACUCCUACGGGAGGCAGCAGUUGGGAAUCUUAGGCAAUGGACGAAAGUCUGACCUAGCGACGCCGCGUGAGGGAAGAAGGCCUCGGUUGUAAACCUCUGUCAUGGGGAGAAGUAAGUGACGGUACCCAGAGGAAGCCCUGCUAACUACGUG
rnacentral:rRNA from 1 species